rnacentral:misc_RNA from 1 species
ACUGGGAAGGAUAUGAAGCGAGACUAAAGGGAUUGAAAUAGUGUCUGGGCCGUAAGUUGAUUGGGAAGAUUGGAUAUAUUGGGCCAGGAAAGACGGGUAAUGGGCUUCAGCAUCUGAACUGGAUUCUUCUGAAGAGGAGUGAUCUUGUUCUGAACCAGUAUCUGCUCCGAGGGCAAAGACUGUAUCUUCAUCUGGUUCAUCUUGCUCAGAGAAUAAGGAUUCAACAUCAUCAUGCUCUAGAGAGAUGUGAGAAGCCUGUUGUAUG